rnacentral:rRNA from 1 species
UACGUAGGGUGCGAGCGUUAAUCGGAAUUACUGGGCGUAAAGCGCGCGCAGGCGGUCAUCUGCGUCCGGGGUGAAAACCCAGAGCUCAACUCUGGGACUGCCUUGGAUACGGGGUGACUUGAGGAUCGGAGAGGCAAGGGGAAUUCCACGUGUAGCGGUGAAAUGCGUAGAGAUGUGGAGGAACACCUGCGGCGAAGGCGGGUUGCUGGGCUGAUACUGACGCUGAGGCGCGAAAGCCAGGGGAGCGAACGGG